GGGCGCUGCAGCCGCGCCGGGCAUCGGUGUGAGGGGAAAGGAAGGCACCGCCCAGGGCAGACCGGGGGGCGGGCGGGAGCAGCCGCUCCGCAGCGGGACCUCCGUGGCUGCUGUGGGCACAGCUUCCCCCGGGGGCUCCCGCCGGCGUGGGGCGGCGGGGCCGGGCAGCGCCCGGGGCGGCUUCGCCUCCCGCGCUGUGCUGUCCCGUCCCGUCCCGGCAGCGGAGGUAAGCGGGGACCGUGGGCGUCCGCCUGCCAGCGGCUCUCGUCACCCGGAGACGGGUGUCCCCUAAUCGUGUUUCCAUCAGCCGCGGCGGGGGCGUAUAAAAGGAGCGGCCGCGGGCGAGGCGGGCAGAGCGCGGCGCUGCCCCCGUCCCGCCCGCCGGCCCCAUGCAGCCCGCCAUGAUGAUGUUCUCCAGUAAGUACUGGGCGCGGAGGGGCUUCUCGCUGGACUCGGCGCUGCCGGAGGAGCGCCCCGCCGCCGGCAGCCUCACCCUAAACAGAUCGAGUUCUGGGAAAAAUGAGGAAAAGAAAGGGAAUAAGGGAAAUGGGAAAAAUGAAUCUGUUUCUGAAGGUGGAAAGACAGCUGUGGUGUUUUCCCUGAAGAAUGAAGUUGGUGGAUUGGUGAAAGCUCUCCGACUCUUCCAGGAAAAACAUGUGAGUAUGGUUCAUAUUGAAUCACGAAAAUCAAAGAGAAGGAAUUCAGAGGUGGAAAUUUUUGUGGACUGUGACUGCAGUAAAAAAGAAUUUAAUGAACUAAUCCAGUUGCUCAAGUUUCAAACUAAUAUCGUAUCUCUCAAUCCACCAGAAAACAUCUGGACUGACGAAGAAGAUCUCGACUGUGUCCCUUGGUUCCCCAGGAAGAUAUCUGAAUUGGACAAAUGCUCCCAGAGAGUUUUGAUGUAUGGAUCUGAGCUGGAUGCAGAUCACCCUGGAUUUAAAGACAAUGUCUAUCGACAGAGAAGAAAGUACUUUGUGGAUCUUGCCAUGAGCUAUAAAUAUGGUCAGCCCAUUCCUAGAGUGGAGUACACAGCUGAAGAAGUUAAAACGUGGGGGGUGGUAUUUAGGGAACUCAGUAAACUCUAUCCCACCCAUGCCUGUCGUGAAUAUUUAAAAAACUUUCCUCUGCUGACCAAGUACUGUGGAUACAGAGAGGAUAAUGUGCCUCAAUUGGAAGAUGUUUCUAUUUUUCUUAAAGAAAGGUCUGGCUUCACAGUGAGACCAGUUGCUGGAUACCUGUCUCCCCGGGAUUUUUUAGCUGGCUUAGCAUAUAGAGUUUUUCACUGUACUCAGUAUAUACGACAUGGCUCAGAUCCUCUCUACACACCGGAACCGGAUACGUGCCAUGAACUCUUGGGACAUGUGCCUCUACUUGCUGAUCCCAAGUUUGCACAGUUUUCGCAAGAGAUAGGACUUGCUUCACUGGGAGCAUCCGAUGAAGAUGUCCAGAAAUUAGCCACGAUGUUGCUGAAGUUGUCAAGGUCAACAGAACAUCAACAUGGUGCCCUUUCAGGCACACUUCGAAUAACCCCUCCACUUUCUCAUUCUGUUUGUUAGGUUGCUUUUGCAUCAGACAAAGCAUCAGUUUAGACUGUGUAACCUUGUUUCAGUUGUUAGCUGUAAGUUUUAUAUAUUCUGUAACUUACAGAGAACUUUCUAUAGAUCAUCACUAUGACAUUCAUAAAGAUGGCAUCUGCUCAUAGUGCUAGAUAAAGCAGUUUGAGCUCAGAACUUUUUCAAGACAUGCUGGAAAGAAUGGGCACUCACAUAUUACAAUUUUUUCCCCCAUAAAACAUACUACUCUUUUUUCUCUGAAGAUUUUUCUUCCCUCCCUUGAAUCAGUAGGCUGUAAUUGUAAUAAUUAUAUAGUUUGACUACAUAAAAGUGGCUAAGAUUAUAGUUUAACAAGACAUUUUACAUUUCUAGAAUGUAAACACCUUUGUAGGAUUAAUUUUUUGACUUUGAGUAAGCAUAUUAGCUUAUGUACAGAUCCAUACUAUACAUCUGCAAUGAAUUUAGGACCUAUACAAGCACAGAAUUCUUGCUGAUCACUAGUGACCAUUUCAGAGUGAUCUUCACAUUUGGUAUGUUAUUCCUGGACCACAGCCACUGGAAAUUCCUGUGACUUCGGUACAGUGAAGAACUGUGAUCUCUGCUCACAGGUACUUGCUGAGUAUAACUUUUUUCCAUGUAUUGCUGAAUGUGAUUCACUUUGAAUUUACACACUUUUGGCAGGUAACUCGGUGGUGACUCAGUUGACUAUUCUGUGGUUAUGAUAGAUUCAUUUCACAUGUCCUAACUGCUGAAAAUCAGGGUGCUGCAAGGAGAUGCUCAACUGCACUUGAGAAAGAUUUUGUUUGGGGCUGUGAAAAACAUGUUCAAUUUGAAUAUAUUUUUAGUAGCAAAAUUAAUAGAUAUUUAAAAUUCCCAGAGCUACUUUUCUUCUUUGAUCUGUCUGUCAGCUUGACAUGAAUAGAACUAACACUUUUGUACUUAUGCCUGCUAUCUUUUUUUUGCUUCCUUUUUGCAAAGCAGGUUGAGCUAAUGCAUUAAGAGUCACAAAAGCUUUUGGGAGUCCCUUGGCAUUUAUGUGAUUAAAAGAACAUUGAGUUUAAAUGCAGUGUUGCUGUUAGAAACUGUGAUGUUUGAAAACAAGUCUUAGCUAUUAAAUCAGUUUUCAGUAAAUAGAUGGAAGAACUUAAUUUUCUUUUAAAAUAUUUAGAAAAUAAGUGUGGAUGCUGGUAAUUUUGGAAUGAAGUCCUAUCCUUUUUUUCUCUUCAGAAAUAAAUUUGAAAUUGAUAUGACUGUGAAGAAAUAGUGCGUUUUUUCUCCUUGAAAUAAGAAUUCUGAAACUUCACUGGCCAGUUGUUCUUGUCUCUUCAAUGUGUUUUUUGCCCGCACAGGUUCAGGGCUUGCAAAAGUUCUGAGAUCCUUUCAGCCCCAGGAGACUUCUCCCCUUUCUGAAGAUAUGACUUUCUCUCAUUGGUGGGUACAUUAGGACUUUUAGAGCUGAUCGUGUAUACAAGAACCUCAUAGUCCUCCUUGGCUAAAAUGUUGUGGGAGGCUCAGUGGCUCUCCUGCAUCACUCCCUGCAGUGCAAGUGUCAUCUACAGUAACUGGCCUGUCAGUUAGAGGAGGCACAACCUGCUCCAGGGAAUGGCAUUGUGGGAAGCACUGCAUGAACCUGGUGCCUUCCCCAUGGGAAUUCCGGUAAAGGAGGACACUGGGGUCUUUCUCUGUACUGGCCAAGGGUGGUUACUAAAGAGGCCUUGUAUCUUGCAGUAAUCAGUUCUGACAGUGGACUGGCACAGGGCAGUGAUUCAGUAAACUCCCUGCUUAUAAAAUGAGGAUUGCCUGUACUGUGAUUAAUUGCUGCACCUUUGCUUCUUGAUAAGCUGUGGAUUUACUUUACCAUUCUGUCAAAAGCUUGUCCCAGGAUAAGUGGAAGAGAAUCCUGUGUCAGUUUUCCCCUUACUCGGUUUCCUUGUGGCAUUGCCAGUUUUCCCCAUAAGCUUUCCUUCUGGCAUUGCAGCUUGUUCAAAAGAAUGAACUCUGCAUCCCUAGUCUGAAGAUGUUUUCUUGGUAUUUCAUGGAGUGUUGCAACUUUAUACCUUCUCUUCUGAGUGUCCUUCUUAGCGUGCUUGCUGGGGAGUAGAAGUUGGUCUUUUUAGAGAAGGACAAACUAUGUUGGACCAGUGCUGAAGUCUACAGGUAACUGUGAUAAAUGGAUCCUGACGACUGGGCUAGGCUUCUGUAGAGAUUCUGGCUCUGGAUGCUGUAGGAAGAAAAGUGAGUUUGUUCCUGUCUGUUCUCUGAGUGUUUUCCUAAGCAAUGCAAUUCAGUUUGGGGCAACAUUCCUAGUGUCAGUGACCCAUAAAACGAGCAUGCUGUCAGGCAAAGGACAGACAAAUGAUCUCUUGUGUGUUUAUUUGUUUCGAAUUUUGCUCUCGCUUUGGUCAUACCUCCAUGUCCACACGUCAAUGUUCAAGUUCCCGGCCCAUGCUGGAGGAGUCAUACUCUCCAAGCUGUAGCAUAAGUUAUGAGGCUGAGGAGAACACUUACGAGGUGCCAGCCCUUGUCCCUGUAGCCUAUAAAAUCAGGACUGUUCUUGCUUUGAUAGGUUGUGUUUAUGCCAAUUCCUCGCUUGUAAGAGUAGCAGGACAAAGAUCUGGAAAACAGGAAUGGCAAAGCUGUAAAGACAAUGCCUGCUUGCAGCCUGUGAAUUGUGAAGGAUUGUAACAAACUAAGUGUGUCACAUAAGCAGCGCAGACUGAAGACUGUGGUUGGACAGCAGUGACGUGUGUUUACUCAACUUUUUUUUUUUUUUUUAAUGGUUUGACUUUCAGAGGACCCCAUCUCUUGGAGUCUCAACUAUCAUGUCAAAAGACCUCACUAUCCCCGUUACAAUACCUGUGUGAAAUCUCUGCAUGGCUGAAAUUUGAAGCAACAGCUUGAAAAAGAAAUGAGCAAAUACUCACUUAGCUAAAAUGUAGGGAGUGCUGAAUGUGAAUUCAUGUUAUCUGUAGUAAAAUAAAGUGGAAUGGGUUAUUAUUGCAUAUCAUUUUUUCUUCGUAACUCCACUUGAAAUUAAUAAACCUUAAACCCCUAGGUUUUAGAAGUUGAAGUUGUUCAAGAUAAGAGUCAAAUGAGAUAGAGAAGGGGAAAUAGGAAGGGCAAAGCAUUAGGGCUUCAUGUUUAACAAAGCAUUAGGCCUUAUGUUUAACAAAUGACCUAAGCAGCAGUUUACAGUUUAAGUGGUCUUGUCUGCUUAGCUGCAUAUUAAGCUUCAGCACUAUUAGUUAUGUUGGAAAAGCUAGAAGUUCUUUCUCUGGCCAUGUUGAGCAAGUUGAGGCAAGUGUGCUUUUUGGGGCAUUCAUUUUUUGCACCACCUCUGUGACAGCUAGCUUUGCUGGAAAGGAAUUUGCUGCCUUGCCAGGAAACACAGCUUUUUGUACAGAAAGACUUUCUGUGUAAGUGUUGAAGUUCCUGAUUCUGCACCUCCAAAGGUUUCCAAGGUUUUCAACUGAGAUAAAAUGAGAAGGCUGGACAGACAUCAUCUUUGUGCAGAGCAAACCUAAAUUCAGAUUAUUUUGAAGUAAUUCAAACAUGGAGUGAGAUAUCCAGUGGCUUCAGCUGUGUGGGAUGUAACUUUUUGGAACAGCAGAAAAAUCCCAAAAAUGCUUCAUUCCUCUGCUCUCUCUGCUUGCUCUUCAGAGUAGCAGGAGGGCCUCCUUCAUGCGAGAAUGAACAAUAGAAAGACACAUUCUCUCAGGAGACACAAUAUGGUUAGUAGGGCUGUCCUCCGGAUCUUAUUUCAGAAGUUGUAUUGCACCUGCAAGGUUGGCAGCUGCCAUAGACAUUGUCUUGUUUUGUCUGGACUCCCCAGUGUUGGAGGUAUAGAGUUACCUCCUUACUGAUACUGUUGUAGCAUUGUGUUGCUUGAGGUACACUUUUGCUUCCUUACAAACUCAUGAUGAUAAUUUUAUUUGGUUUACCAUUAUGAGUUUUUCUCCAGUAACUCCUGAAUAAAGAAACAUAAUUUCAAAGUAUUCACAAGGGCUUGAGUCCCCUUGUGCUCACUGUAGGCCGUGCUUUCUCUGAGUAUGUCAAGCCCCUGCAUUAGAGGAAUUUGCAUGUGGUGAUGCUGAGUUCUGUGGCUGUCAACAGAAAUGUGAAGGCCGGUGUGUAUCUAUACCCCAGUGCUCUAAUGAGCAGCACCACAUCUACCCAAAUGUCUGUUUAUAAAGAGAUUGUUCCGAGCAUUCACCCUUAGUGAAAGGUCUGAAUGCAAAGCAGUCAGAUGAGGGAAAAAGGAUAAUAUUGUUAAAUAUAUUCACUUUGAAAUCCCCAAAGGAAACCUCAUUUCACUAAGCCUAAAUGCAUUUCAAAGUGGCAGACUAAACAAAAUAGUUUAAGAAGGUAACUCUGAAAAAAUUAAACUUUGUUUUCUUAUUUAGAAAUGCUGUUGGCUGUGAAUAGGGUCACUGCCUUUGUUGGAGGUAGGCGAAUUGUCUAUAAUGAGACUUAGCUAUUGAAUUUUACUUCUUUUCUGCUUUUGAUCUAUUCACAAACUCAUCAUAAGAUUUAUUUGUUGUUCAAAAAUCUCCCUGCAUUUCUACUCAGUAAUGUUCCUGCAUGAAUAGCUGUCAAAUAGCCAGUAUUGCUUGAUGCCCGGACUCUAACACUGUGCUGUAUUGGCUAGUUGCCUGGGUUACCUGUGUUACAUCUAUCUGUUUCUUGUAGUGGAGCACUCCUGAUACUACUCAACAGACUGUGAAUUUUGAAUAAUUCAGUCAAAUGUGAAAUGCCAGCUGGUUUUUUUUUUUUUGGAGACUAUUGAUGUCUUUGAAAAAUAAGCAACUAUUCAAAAAUUUAUUUGCACUAGCUCUGAAUGAAGAAAGAAAGCACAGAUGAGAGUCACAGAUAUUUCUGAGUCAACAGUUGGUUGCAAUUUGAGCAACUUUUACAGGGGGAAAGAAAACACCUUUAUUUCAUUAAUCCUUAGGAUUAAUUUCUAAUAAUUGGAGUUAGAAAAAGUCUUUCAGCUAUAUAUAACUAUUUACUUAUGAGAUAAUUACAACUAUAUGAAAGAUUUUAUCUCUAUGUGAAUGUUUUUAGAGCUAAAAUAUCAAAGGACUCCUAAAGAAAAAGGAAUUAAUCUUGGCAUAUUGUGAACAUAUCACAUGCAUUUGAAUUGAGUGGUCUAUUCAAAUAUCUUUUGAAAUCUUAAAUCCAGUAGAAACAAUGUAAAGAUGUUUUCUUAAGGAUAUUUAUUUGGCACUGGUCUUGCAAGUACUUACAUACAUUAGUAAUUGUAUUGUCUUCAUGGCAGUCAUUUUCUAUAUGUAUAAUGUGAUUGUGCUACUUCAUGUCAGCUUGGGGUUGUAGCCCUUUGCCACUGGCAGUUCCUGUAGUGGUGAUUCUUCUUGCCCAUGUGCCAGGGUUGCAGUCAUGCAAUUACUGAAUCUCUCAUUCUUCCCCCCUCAUGACAGGGAGCACAAACAAAUCGGUGCUUGACGUGGUGUUCUCAGGACUCAUCCUGACAACAUUUUUAUAAGUGCUAUUUUUUUACGAUUGAAUUUGGCCUUUGCAAGCAAGAAGGACAACUACGUGCUUAUGGGGCAGGACUUCUGUCUUCUAUUGGA